CAAGACUUGACAUCUCCUGAAUAGCCUAGAGAUAGGUGAAGCCCUUCGGGGCAGGAAGACAGGUGGUGCAUGGUUGUCGUCAGCUCGUGUCGUGAGAUGUUGGGUUAAGUCCCGCAACGAGCGCAACCCCUGUCGUUAGUUGCCAUCAUUAAGUUGGGCACUCUAGCGAGACUGCCGAGGUUAACUCGGAGGAAGGUGGGGAUGACGUCAAAUCAUCAUGCCCCUUAUGUCUUGGGCUACACACGUGCUACAAUGGCCGGUACAGAAAGAAGCGAACCCGUGAGGGGGAGCAAAUCUCAAAAACCGGUCCCAGUUCGGAUUGUAGGCUGCAACUCGCCUACAUGAAGCCGGAGUUGCUAGUAAUCGCGGAUCAGCAUGCCGCGGUGAAUACGUUCCC
rnacentral:rRNA from 1 species